GCUAAGUGGCUAAACAGCUGCGGAAUAACGAAGGAUCCCUGCGCAAACGGCGGUUACACUGGCAGCGCCUGCGCAUGCGUGUGCCCUCCCGGGACAACCGGUAAAAGUUGCCAGACAGUUCAAGGCGAUUACUAUCAAAAAAAGUUACCAUCCUGUAACCAGAUAAUAACAGAGGAUACACUACUGCUGUCGCCUGACCAUCCCUCCAAUAUAAAAGCAGGCACAGUUUGCGUUUACCAAAUCAAGGCCGCCUCGAGGCAAAUGGUUCGUCUGAAUUUCACCCGGUUUCACCUCGAACAGUCUGCACCCAAUUGCCUCGACGCUAGUCUGACAGUCUUCACUGCCAACGAUGUUUUCUCCGUCUGCGAGUUCGCCCAAGUGACCAACACCAUCGGCGAUUUCGUCGGUCCCGUAUCCUUCCUGCUGGACGUCAGGAACGGCGGCAGCCAAGGAUUCCAAGUCGACAUCAAAUUCCUAACCAGCGGAACGCCGACGAAAACGAAGCUGUCUUUGGCUGGCGGGACGCGUCUCUCCUGGUCAGUGCUGACGCUCCUGCUGUGCCCUCUGGUGGCCGCCUUCCUGAAGUGAAUUACCUCCCCUCUCUCUCCGUCUCUUUCUCUCUUUGAUUA